ACUAAAACGUUUGUUAAAAUUAUCAUUGUAAUAAACACAAAGCUUAAAAUAUUGUUCACUUUGUAUUUAAAUUGUUUUGAUGACGAUGGUGCAACUUCUUUUCUAGAGAUGCCAUGCUGGUUGGCAAAAUCAUGAUGAUGAUGAAACAGGACCAAGGUAGCCGAUGAAAACUUCUUUCUGGACCAACUAUUUUUUUUUCAAGAUUAUAUUACAAAAAUUAGUUGAUUAAAAAUGAGUUUAUA